AUUGAACGCUGGCGGCAUGCCUUACACAUGCAAGUCGAACGGCAGCACGGGAGCAAUCCUGGUGGCGAGUGGCGAACGGGUGAGUAAUAUAUCGGAACGUGCCCAGUCGUGGGGGAUAACGCAGCGAAAGCUGUGCUAAUACCGCAUACGAUCUCUGGAUGAAAGCGGGGGACUCGCAAGGGCCUCGCGCGAUCGGAGCGGCCGAUGUCAGAUUAGGUAGUUGGUGGGGUAAAGGCUCACCAAGCCAACGAUCUGUAGCUGGUCUGAGAGGACGACCAGCCACACUGGAACUGAGACACGGUCCAGACUCCUACGGGAGGCAGCAGUGGGGAAUUUUGGACAAUGGACGCAAGUCUGAUCCAGCCAUUCCGCGUGCAGGAUGAAGGCCCUCGGGUUGUAAACUGCUUUUGUACGGAACGAAAAGGUCUCUCUUAAUACGGGGGGCUCAUGACGGUACCGUAAGAAUAAGCACCGGCUAACUACGUG
rnacentral:rRNA from 1 species